UACGUAGGGAGCAAGCGUUGUCCGGAAUCAUUGGGCGUAAAGCGCGCGUAGGUGGCUCUAUAAGUCCGUUGUGAAAGUCAAAGGCUCAACCUUUGAAAGCCGAUGGAUACUGCAGAGCUAGAGUACGGAAGAGGCGAGUGGAAUUCCUGGUGUAGCGGUGGAAUGCGCAGAUAUCAGGAGGAACACCAAUAGCGAAGGCAGCUCGCUGGGACGUUACUGACACUGAGGCGCGAAAGCGUGGGGAGCGAACAGG
rnacentral:rRNA from 1 species